rnacentral:lncRNA from 10 species
CCGCCCCGCCCCGCCCCGCCCCGCCGGCCUCAGCAGCGCGGGCAGCUCCGGGCACCCGGGCGCCGGAGGCGGGGCUGGCGCGGCCAGGCAGGCAGGGGAUCACGUGCGCAGGGGCGGGCGCAUCGAGAAUCUAAUCUGAGAGGUGGUAGGUGACGGAUGGGGUCCCCAGCUGCCAAAGGUCGCACGGCGGGAAGGAGCUGGCCGAAGCACUGACUUGGAAGUCAGACCUCAUUUCCAGGGUCACAUCGCCAGUCGUGGCCUUGCGCGGAUUACCUAACAUCAAGUCUCAAUUUCUUCACCUGACAAUCACCUCCUAGGAUUGCUGUAAAAAAUAAUAAUAAUAAUGCAUUACAGUUCUUGGCCCAGUGCCUGGCUCAUGCCUUGCUCUGGAGGAAGGCAGCUGCAGAGGAAGAUCCACAGAACCCCAAUCUUGGAUGGCUACUCGUGUCCCUCCAAUCUCCAGGCUCUCCUCCCUCUGGUUCACACUGCACAUUGCUUCACUAACCUGCUGGCUGCCUCACCAGCAACCGCGUUACCUUCGGACUGAACAGAGAUUUCAAGAAGGACCCUCACUCCAGUGACAAGUGUCCUAACAGAACAAGGCAGAGCGAGACUACACAAACAGGAGGAGAAAGACCUGAGAAGGAGGAGGCAGAGAUGAGACUGAUGCAUCCACAAACCAAGGAAUGCCCAAGGCCACCAGAAGCCAGAGGACACGAGUGACAACACCUCCCUAGAGCCUCUGGACAGAGUUCAACCCUGCUGACACCUUCAUUCUGGACUUUCAACCUCCAGAGCUGACAGUGAGAGAAUAAAUAUCUGUUGCCUUUUUUUUUUUUUUUUUUUUUCAGAUGGAGUCUCUCUUUGUCACCCAGGCUGCAGUGCAAUGGCACAAUCUCAGCUCACUACAAUCUCCGUCUCCCAGGUUCAAGCAAUUCUCCUGCCUCAGCCUCCCAAGUAGGUGGGAUUACAGGUGCCCGCCACCAUGCCUAGCUGAUUUUUGUAUUUUUAGUAGAGACAGGGGUUUCACCAUGUUGGCCAGGUUGGUCUUGAACUCCUGACUUCAGGUGAUCUUCCUGCCUUGGCCUCCCAAAGUCCUGGGAUUACAGGUGUGAGCCACUGCGCCCGGCCAUCUGUUGUCUUAAGCCACCAAGUUAGUGGUAAUUUGUGACAGCAGCCACAGGAAGCGAAUACAGGGGUAUGGGGAAUGAAAUCGCUCUAAAUUCUCCUCUGUCUUUCAGUGCAUAGACAUAAGUGUGCACCCACACCCAAGAAUGGAAUUGCUGGAUCACAGGGUGGGUGUAUGUUCAGCACUAAGAGAUAUUGCUAAACAAUUUUCUAAAGAGGUUAUAGCAAUUUAUACUCCCACCAAUGUUUGAGAUCCAGUUUCUCCACAUGGUUGUCAGCCUCAGUGCUAUGGUUUGAAUAUUUGACCCCUCCAAACCUCAUGUUGAAAUGUGAUCCCCAGUGUCAGAGGUGGGACCUAAUAGGAGGUGUUUGGGUCAUGGGGGCGGAUCCCUCAAGACUUCAUGACAGCUUGGUGCAGUCUUGGAAGUAGUGAGUAAGUUCUCGUUCUGUAAGUUCCUGUGAGGGCUGAUUGCGUUUUUUUUCGUUUCGUUUGUUGUUUGUUUGUUUUUCUUCGAGACGGAGUCUUGCUCUGUCACCCAGGCUGGAGUGCAGUGGCACCAUCUCGGCUCACUGCAACCUCCGCCUCCCAGGUUCAAGCAAUUCUCCUGCCUCAGCCUCCCAAGUAGCUGGGAUUACAGGCUCCUGCCACCAUGCACAGCUAAUUUUUGUAUUUUUAGUAGAGACGGGGUUUCGCCAUGUUGGCCAGGCUGGUCUUGAGCUGCUGGCCUCAAGUGACCCACCCGCCUCCGCCUCCCAGAGUGCUGGGAUUACAGGCAUGAGCCACCGCGUCCAGCCUGGGCUGGUUAUUAAAAAAAACAGACUGCUACCUCCCCUCUCUCUCUUGCUUUCUCUCUCACCCUAUGGUCUCUGCACACGCAGGCUUCCGUUUGCCUUCUGCCAUGAGUGGAAGCAGGUUGAGGCCCCCAUCAGAAGUAGAUGUUGGUGCCAUGCUUCUUGUAUGGCCAGAAGAACCAGCAGCCAAAUGAACCUCUUUUCUUUAUAAAUUACCCAGCCUUGGGUAUUCCUUAUAGUAACACAAGCAGAUGAAGACAUUUAGUAUUGUCUUUUGCAUUUCACCCUUCUGGCGGCUGUGCAAUAGUUUUAAUUUUUAUUUCCCUGGUGACUAAUGAGGCUGUAUGCUUUUUCUUAAGCUUUUUCACCAUUUGGAUAUGGUUUUCUCGUGAUGGGCCUACUCAUAUCUUUGGCCCAUUUUUCUUCUG